rnacentral:snRNA from 1 species
AGCUUUGCGCAGUGGCAGUAUCGUAGCCAAUGAGGUUUAUCCGAGGUGCUGAUUAUUGCUAAUUGAAAACUUCCCUUCUUUUGUAAGUUUUACUUAUAAGUGAAACCAU